rnacentral:rRNA from 1 species
UACAGAGGUCUCAAGCGUUGUUCGGAUUCAUUGGGCGUAAAGGGUGUGUAGGUGGCGCCGUAAGUCGGGUGUGAAAUUUCGGAGCUUAACUCCGAAACUGCAUUCGAUACUGCGGUGCUUGAGGACUGGAGAGGAGACUGGAAUUUAUGGUGUAGCAGUGAAAUGCGUAGAGAUCAUGAGGAAGACCAGUGGCGAAGGCGGGUCUCUGGACAGUUCCUGACACUGAGACACGAAGGCCAGGGGAGCAAACGGG